UACGUAGGGUGCAAGCGUUGUCCGGAAUUAUUGGGCGUAAAGAGCUCGUAGGCGGCUUGUCGCGUCGGCUGUGAAAACCUGGGGCUCAACCCCGGGCCUGCAGCCGAUACGGGCAAGCUAGAGUUCGGUAGGGGAGACUGGAAUUCCUGGUGUAGCGGUGAAAUGACGCAGAUAUCAGGAGGAACACCGGUGGCGAAGGCGGGUCUCUGGGCCGAUACUGACGCUGAGGAGCGAAAGCGUGGGGAGCGAACAGG
rnacentral:rRNA from 1 species